UACGAAGGGGGCUAGCGUUGCUCGGAAUCACUGGGCGUAAAGCGCACGUAGGCGGACUCUUAAGUCGGUGGUGAAAUCCUGGAGCUCAACUCCAGAACUGCCUUCGAUACUGGGAGUCUCGAGUCCGGGAGAGGUGAGUGGAACUGCGAGUGUAGAGGUGAAAUUCGUAGAUAUUCGCAGGAACACCAGUGGCGAAGGCGGCUCACUGGCCCGGUACUGACGCUGAGGUGCGAAAGCGUGGGGAGCAAACAGG
rnacentral:rRNA from 1 species